rnacentral:lncRNA from 1 species
UAAAAUGAGAAACGCAUAGGAUAUCAUCAUAUUAAACUUUCCUAAGAAAGUAAGAAUCAUUUUGAAAUGUGAUUGGUUUCCAUCUUCUUAGUUGGCUCUGCCCUGACCCCAACUCCUUUAUUUUUUUGAGGUAGAAAGUAUGUCCUUGCUACAUUCCUUUUUUGGAGUUCUUUUAUUUCAUUCUUUUGGAAUCGGAGAGAAACAAGUUGCUGCCCCAGGAAAGCGUGCAUUUUCGGAGAUCACUCAUUGCAGAAGAAGCCAACUGCCAUGCCAGAGGGGCACUCAAACAGCUCUGCAAGGAAGUCCCUGUGAUAAGCAACUGAAGACUCUGCCAUCGGCCAUGAGAGCGCCACCUUGGAAACAGAUUCUUCAGCCUUAGUCAAAUUUUCAGAAGACUGUAUGUCCAGCCAACUUCUUGACUACAAUCCCUUUAUAGAUCCCAAGCUAGAACCUCCCAGCUAAGCCACUCCUGGAUUCCUGACCCUGAGAAACUCUGUGAGAGAAUAAAUGUUUAUUCUUGCCUUAAGCUCCUAAAUUUGGAGGUAA